ensembl:processed_transcript
GUGGCGCAUGGGAGCUUAGGGCAUCGCCCGGUGAUGUACAGUCCCUUUCCACAACGUCGGAGAUGAAGCUGGGCUUCCGAGUCUGCGCCUGCAUAUUCCUACGACUUCUCAGAGUCCCGUGGACGAUGACUGGGGAGACAAACCAUGCAGGAAACAAUUUUAAAUCAUGCAGUCUAUAAGAAAAAGAACCACACGAUCUGGUCGUGGGUCCGAGUACUGUGUUUAACUUACUGAUAAAUGCCUUCUAUUGCAGAACCGAUCCGUGAUUCCAGACACCUUGUUUAUGGAGGAAAGAAGAGGACCUGCAUGGGCACCUACUGAAUAUUUAACUAUGUCCAACAUGGUGAAAUUUUGUCUGUAUUAGGGCCUCAGCCAUUAGAAGCUGGGAAACCUUUUCUGCCUACUUAGCUGUUUGGUAAAUCAGUUUUUUUCACAGGUAAUGCCUAGAUUUGAGGACCUUCAGCAUGGUUCUUUUUUUUUUGAAGUUCAGGUUUCCCCCCCCCAGACCGUAUUAUAUGACCCACUUUUUUUUUUUGUUCCCCAGUUCUCUAUAAGAUUAUGGUUGUAAGUUCAAAUCUGAAUUAAAGCAUUUGAAUGUC